rnacentral:rRNA from 1 species
AUACGGAGGAUGCGAGCGUUAUCCGGAUUUAUUGGGUUUAAAGGGAGCGUAGGCGGGAGCUUAAGUCAGCGGUUAAAUGGUGCGGCCCAACCGUGCCCUGCCGUUGAAACUGGGUUUCUUGAGAGUGCAAGAGGCGGAUGGGAUUCAUGGGGUAGCGGUGAAAUGCUUAGAUAUCAUGAAGAACUCCGAUUGCGAAGGCAGUCCGCUGGGGCACGUCUGACGCUGAUGCUCGAAGGUGCGGGAAUCAAACAGGAUUAGAUACCCUGGUAGUCCGCACGGUAAACGAUGAUUACCCGCUGUCGGCGGCAGACAGUCGGCGGCCAAGCGAAAGCGAUAAGUAAUCCACCUGGGGAGUACGCCGGCAACGGUGAAACUCAAAGGAAUUGGCGGGG